AAAUUGAAGAGUUUGAUCAUGGCUCAGAUUGAACGCUGGCGGCAGGCCUAACACAUGCAAGUCGAACGGUAACAGAAGUCAGCUUGCUGAUUUGCUGACGAGUGGCGGACGGGUGAGUAAUGUCUGGGAAACUACCUGAUGGAGGGGGAUAACUACUGGAAACGGUAGCUAAUACCGCAUAAUGUCGCAAGACCAAAGAGGGGGACCUUCGGGCCUCUUGCCAUCGGAUGUGCCCAGAUGGGAUUAGCUAGUAGGUGGGGUAACGGCUCACCUAGGCGACGAUCCCUAGCUGGUCUGAGAGGAUGACCAGCCACACUGGAACUGAGACACGGUCCAGACUCCUACGGGAGGCAGCAGUGGGGAAUAUUGCACAAUG
rnacentral:rRNA from 1 species